GGCGGCUACCUGGUAACCCGGCCCCGGCCCUGGAGGUUUGGGCGCGCGCAGCCAGUCCCGGCCACGCCGGGGACCGAGGGACGCGGACAGGGGCGGCCGCCGGGGGACGGGAGGCUGAGCGAGGGGCCUUCGCCUGGUCACCAUGGUCGAAAGACGCUUCUCUCAGUUCCUGCAGAAACUCCCCUUCUCGGGCGCGGGCCACCUGUACGAGCCCCUGGAGAGGAGCGAGUUGGAAAUCUUGAUUGGAGGGCAGUGUGACUCGAAAGCCAUCGAAAGAGAGAAAACGGUCGUAGCUCUGUCACCCAAGGAAGCAAGCAAAUGCCACAAAGAGGAUUUGGCCAAAGCGUUUUAUGUGGACUUACAAAAUGGGCUGUCCGAGUUCUCGGUGUCGCAGCGGAGACAGGUCCAUGGCUGGAAUGAAUUUGUCGCUGAUAACACCGAACCCGUGUGGAAGAAGUAUCUCGAUCAGUUUAAGAACCCCUUGAUCCUGCUGCUCCUGGCCUCCGCCCUGGUGAGCGUCCUCACGAAGGAGUACGAGGACGCCGUCAGUAUCGCCGUGGCCGUGCUGAUCGUGGUCACCGUCGCCUUCAUCCAGGAGUACAGGUCGGAGAAGUCCCUGGAGGAGCUGACCAAGCUUGUCCCUCCCGAGUGUAACUGCAUAAGAGAAGGAAAGCUCCAGCAUCUGCUUGCACGAGACCUGGUUCCUGGAGACAUUGUGUCUCUCUCGAUCGGAGAUCGGAUCCCUGCAGACAUCCGUCUCACUGAGGUCACAGAUCUCCUGGUAGACGAGUCCAGCUUCACGGGAGAAGCUGAGCCGUGCAGUAAGACGGACAGCCCGCUGGCCGGCGGGGGGGACCUCACCACUCUGAGCAACAUCGUCUUCAUGGGGACCCUGGUGCAGUACGGGAAGGGGCAGGGGGUCGUGAUCGGAACGGGGGAAAGGUCCCAGUUCGGAGAAGUGUUCAAGAUGAUGCAGGCUGAAGAGACGCCUAAAACCCCGCUCCAGAAGAGCAUGGACAAGCUGGGGAAGCAGCUGACACUCUUCUCGUUUGCCAUCAUUGGCUUGAUCAUGCUCACCGGCUGGCUGCAGGGCAAGCCGCUCCUCAGCAUGUUCACGAUCGGGGUCAGCCUGGCUGUGGCUGCCAUUCCCGAGGGUCUGCCCAUUGUUGUCACGGUUACACUGGUCCUGGGAGUGCUGCGGAUGGCCAAGAAGCGUGUCAUCGUGAAGAAGUUACCCAUCGUGGAGACGCUGGGUUGCUGCAAUGUCAUCUGUUCAGAUAAGACAGGGACUCUGACCGCCAAUGAGAUGACCGUCACCCAGCUGGUGACAUCUGAUGGGCUCCAUGCUGAGGUCAGCGGAGUUGGAUAUAACGGCGACGGCUCCGUCCGUCUCUUACCCUCAAAGGAAGUCCUGACGCGGUUCAGCAACGUCUCGGUGGGGAGGUUAGUGGAGGCAGGCUGCGUGGCCAACAACGCCGUCAUCAGAAAGAACGCGGUGAUGGGACAGCCCACGGAAGGCGCCCUGAUCGCGCUGGCCAUGAAGAUGGACUUGAGUGAUAUUAAAGAUUCAUACGUGAGAAAAAAAGAGAUUCCAUUCAGUUCGGAGCAGAAAUGGAUGGCAGCACAAUGCAGCCCCAAGAACGAGGACCAGGAGGACAUUUACUUCAUGAAGGGGGCCUUGGAAGAGGUGGUGAACUCCUGCAGCACGUACAACCACGGCGGCAUCCCUCUGCCGCUGACCCCCCAGCAGCGGGCCUUCUACCAGCAGCAGGAGAAGGAGAUGGGCACCCUCGGCCUGCGCGUGCUGGCCCUGGCUUCUGGGCCUGAGCUGGGGAGCCUGACUUUUCUGGGGCUCGUCGGCAUCAUCGACCCUCCGAGGGCUGGCGUGAAGGAGGCUGUGCGUUUGCUCUGCCAGUCGGGCGUGUCGGUGAAGAUGAUCACGGGCGACGGGCUGGAGACCGCCUCCGCCAUAGGAAGGAACAUUGGCCUGUGCAACGGGAAGCUGAAGGCCAUGUCCGGGGCCGAGGUGGAGAAUAUGGAGCAGGAAGAGCUGGCUGACUGCGUCGGGAAGGUGUCUGUCUUCUUCAGGACCAGCCCGAAGCACAAGCUCAAAAUCAUAAAGGCUUUGCAGGAAUGCGGGGCGAUCGUGGCCAUGACAGGGGACGGGGUGAAUGACGCUGUCGCCCUCAAGUCUGCGGACAUCGGGAUCGCCAUGGGGCAGACGGGGACAGACGUUAGCAAAGAGGCCGCCAACAUGGUCCUGGUGAACGAUGACUUCUCAGCCAUCAUGAGUGCAGUGGAGGAAGGCAAAGGGAUUUUUCACAACAUCAAAAACUUCGUCCGGUUCCAGCUGAGCACGAGCAUCUCGGCCUUGAGCCUCAUCACUCUGUCCACCGUGUGCAACCUGCCCAGCCCCCUCAACGCCAUGCAGAUCCUGUGGAUCAACAUCAUCAUGGACGGGCCACCGGCACAGAGCUUGGGGGUAGAGCCCGUGGACAGAGACGCCCUCCAGCAGCCGCCGCGGAACGUCAAGGACACCAUCCUCAGUAGAGCCCUCAUCCUCAAGACCCUGCUGUCGGCGGCCGUCAUCAUCAGCGGGACACUCUUUAUCUUCUGGAAAGAGAUCCCCGCAGACAAGGCCGGCACCCCACGUGCCACCACCAUGACCUUCACCUGCUUUGUGUUCUUCGACCUCUUCAACGCCUUGACCUGCCGCUCUCAGACCAAGCUGAUAGCUGAGAUCGGUUUUCUCCGGAACCGCAUGUUCCUGUACUCGGUGCUGGGGUCCAUUCUGGGGCAGCUGGCCGUGAUCUACAUCCCGCCCCUGCAGAAGGUCUUCCAGACGGAGAACCUGGGCGCUCUCGGCAGUGGGCCGGUGUGUCUCGGACGCCCACUCACCUCACGACAGGGAGCAAGUCGCCUAGUAGCUCCUUCUGGAAAAGACAGGAACUGAGGCCCACGGCUGUCCCCCACCUGAGCACACCUGUCCUGGCCUCCGCCCAGGCCGACCGCAGGUCCAAGCUCUCUGUUAGACGCCCAGAGUGACCUGUGCGCCUCUGCCUGCAGCUGAGAUUUGCUGCUUUUAACCGGACUGGCCUCGUCUGUGUUCAUCGUGUCCGAGCUCCUCAAACUCUGUGAAAAAUUCUUCUGCAGAGCCAGGAAAGCCCAGACUCACCCAGAUCACAUCUAGGGGACCCGGCUGUGCGAAAUCCUAAAUCAUCUCUAGUGGACGGGACUGUGGCCCUUCCCCCGGCCCCUCGCCAGAGGGCCGCUGCCAGGACACGGAGCGCCGGGCCUCUCCCUCGGCUCUGCAGCUCGGCCAGCCCGGGCCUGCGUCCGACCCCAUCUCUACCCCCGGGACGGGCCCCGAGCAGAGCGCCCGGAAACAGCUCGCUAUUUAUUAAAUCGCGGUGAUUUGUAUGAA